rnacentral:rRNA from 1 species
UGGGGAAUAUUGGACAAUGGGGGCAACCCUGAUCCAGCAAUGCCGCGUGUGUGAAGAAGGCCUGAGGGUUGUAAAGCACUUUCAGUGGGGAGGAGGUUUGGUAGGUUAAGAGCUGAUCAAAUGGACGUUACCCACAGAAGAAGCACCGGCUAACUCCGUGCCAGCAGCCGCGGUAAUACGGAGGGUGCAAGCGUUAAUCGGAAUUACUGGGCGUAAAGGGUGCGUAGGUGGUUUGAUAAGUUAACUGUGAAAGCCCUGGGCUCAACCUGGGAAUGCCAGUUAAUACUGUUGAGCUAGAGUAUGGGAGAGGGUAGUGGAAUUUCCGGUGUAGCGGUGAAAUGCGUAGAGAUCGGAAGGAACACCAGUGGCGAAGGCGGCUACCUGGCCUAAUACUGACACUGAGGCACGAAAGCGUGGGGAGCAAACAGG